UACGUAGGGGGCAAGCGUUGUCCGGAAUUAUUGGGCGUAAAGAGCGUGUAGGCGGUCCGGUAAGUCAGCUGUGAAAGUCAAGGGCUCAACCCUUGAAUGCCGGUUGAUACUGUCGGGCUAGAGUCCGGAAGAGGCGAGUGGAAUUCCCGGUGUAGCGGUGAAAUGCGCAGAUAUCGGGAGGAACACCAAUAGCGAAGGCAGCUCGCUGGGACGGUAUUGACGCUAAGGCGCGAAAGCGUGGGGAGCAAACAGG
rnacentral:rRNA from 1 species